rnacentral:rRNA from 1 species
AUGAACGCUAGCGGCAGGCUUAACACAUGCAAGUCGAACGGCAGCACAGGUAGCAAUACUGGGUGGCGAGUGGCGCACGGGUGCGUAACGCGUAUGCAACCUACCUCUAUCUGGGAGAUAGCCCGAAGAAAUUCGGAUUAAUACCCCAUAAUAUAUGUCUUUCGCAUGUUAGACAUAUUAAAGCUUUGGCGGAUAGAGAUGGGCAUGCGUGACAUUAGCUAGUUGGUAAGGUAACGGCUUACCAAGGCUACGAUGUCUAGGGGGUCUGAGAGGAUUAUCCCCCACACUGGUACUGAGACACGGACCAGACUCCUACGGGAGGCAGCAGUGAGGAAUAUUGGACAAUGGGCGAAAGCCUGAUCCAGCCAUGCCGCGUGCAGGAAGACGGCCCUAUGGGUUGUAAACUGCUUUUAUAUGGGAAUAAACCUCCGAACGUGUUCGGAGCUGAAGGUACCAUACGAAUAAGGAUCGGCUAACUCCGUG